UCCCAGGAACUCUGGGAGCGAAACGAGCAACAAAAAUAUCCUCGGCCCACGCUGGAUCUCGCAGGCUUUCCCUGGAGCGAAGGUCGUGGUCAGGAAAGAGCAGGAGAGUCGGUGUCGGGCGCGUGGCUGUGGUUGCGUGGGUGUUUGCGACCGUGAUGUCAAGAAUGUUGUUUCCUGUGGAAAUCUACACGUCUACAGCAUAUGAUCCUAGCAGAAGAUGUCAAAGCCAUGCUCACUGAACUUCGCAAAGAGAUCAACCUACUCUUGUUAACAAAGGGACACUGAGGGAGAAGGUAGAGGCUUGUGCCUGCCAGUCAUUUGACUUGGAUGCUGUUGUCGGAGGAGAGCAGAAAGAGGAGAAACCAGCACCUUCGGAGGAGAGCAGAAAGAGGAGAAACCAGCACCUUCCAUAUUUUAUCACUGCUGAGAUCUCCUUGGAGUGCAGCUGGGAGACUGUGAUGGUUGGUGACACACUAGAAACCGAAAUACAAGGAGGCUGCGAUGCAGGACUGAACGCCGCCUGACGUCAUCCCCAUGCCUCACUAUAUGGUUUCCUCUGUGCUGGAAUUACCUGCUCUCUUACAAAGCAUAGAUUCCAACCUG